rnacentral:rRNA from 1 species
CUUGCUCUUAUGAAGUUGGCGGCGGACGGCUGAGUAACACGUGGGUAACCUGCCCAUAAGACUGGGAUAACUCCGGGAAACCGGGGCUAAUACCGGAUAACAUUUUGAACCGCAUGGUUCGAAAUUGAAAGGCGGCUUCGGCUGUCACUUAUGGAUGGACCCGCGUCUCAUUAGCUAGUUGGUGAGGUAACGGCUCACCAAGGCAACGAUGCGUAGCCGACCUGAGAGGGUGAUCGGCCACACUGGGACUGAGACACGGCCCAGACUCCUACGGGAGGCAGCAGUAGGGAAUCUUCCGCAAUGGACGAAAGUCUGACGGAGCAACGCCGCGUGAGUGAUGAAGGCUUUCGGGUCGUAAAACUCUGUUGUUAGGGAAGAACAAGUGCUAGUUGAAUAAGCUGGCACCUUGACGGUACCUAACCAGAAAGCCACGGCUAACUACGUGCCAGCAGCCGCGGUAAUACGUAGGUGGCAAGCGUUAUCCGGAAUUAUUGGGGCGUAAAAGCGCGCGCAAGUGGUUUCUUUAAGUCUGAUGUGAAAGCCCACGGCUCAACCGUGGGAGGGUCAUUGGGUAAACUGGGAGACUUGAGUGC